ensembl:misc_RNA predicted gene, 27976
CUGACUGCACUGAAGACUGAAAUGCUCUCUUUAUCCACAGAACAGGUACAGCCCGGGAAACGCCAGUGCAAUGUGCCAAUGUGCCUAAACCCCGACUCGGAUGGACAGCCGCUGAGAACAAGAGGUUGGUUGGGUCCCGGGGUCUCAGAUUGUAGAACUG